AUGAAGAGGCUGAUGUGCUCUCUGCUGGGGCUUCUGUGCACCCAGGUUUGCUGGGUGAAAGGUCAGCAAGUGCAGCAGAGUCCCGCGUCCUUGGUUCUGCAGGAGGGGGAGAACGCAGAGCUGCAGUGUAGCUUUUCCAUCUCUACAAACCAGGUGCAGUGGUUUUACCAACGUCCUGGGGGACGCCUCAUCGGCCUGUCCUACAUUCCUGGAAUGAAGCCUACUGGAAAACAGACAUCCUCAACAGUCACUAAGGGACGUCACAGCUCUUUGACUAUAUCCUCCUCCCAGACCACAGACUCAGGCACUUAUUUCUGUGUUCUGAGUA